rnacentral:rRNA from 1 species
UACGUAGGGCGCAAGCGUUAUCCGGAAUUAUUGGGCGUAAAGAGCUCGUAGGCGGCUUGUCGCGUCGACCGUGAAAACUUGGGGCUCAACCCCAAGCCUGCGGUCGAUACGGGCAGGCUCGAGUUCGGUAGGGGAGACUGGAAUUCCUGGUGUAGCGGUGAAAUGCGCAGAUAUCAGGAGGAACACCGAUGGCGAAGGCAGGUCUCUGGGCAGUUACUGACGCUGAGGAGCGAAAGCAUGGGGAGCGAACAGG